rnacentral:rRNA from 1 species
UACUCCUACGGGAGGCAGCAGUAGGGAAUCUUCGGCAAUGGACGGAAGUCUGACCGAGCAACGCCGCGUGAGUGAAGAAGGUUUUCGGAUCGUAAAGCUCUGUUGUAAGAGAAGAACGAGUGUGAGAGUGGAAAGUUCACACUGUGACGGUAUCUUACCAGAAAGGGACGGCUAACUACGUGCCAGCAGCCGCGGUAAUACGUAGGUCCCGAGCGUUAUCCGGAUUUAUUGGGCGUAAAGCGAGCGCAGGCGGUUAGAUAAGUCUGAAGUUAAAGGCUGUGGCUUAACCAUAGUACGCUUUGGAAACUGUUUAACUUGAGUGCAAGAGGGGAGAGUGGAAUUCCAUGUGUAGCGGUGAAAUGCGUAGAUAUAUGGAGGAACACCGGUGGCGAAAGCGGCUCUCUGGCUUGUAACUGACGCUGAGGCUCGAAAGCGUGGGGAGCAAACAGGAUUAGAUACCCUGGUAGUCCACGCCGUAAACGAUGAGUGCUAGGUGUUAGACCCUUUCCGAGGUUUAGUGCCGUAGCUAACGCAUUAAGCACUCCGCCUGGGGAGUACGACCGCAAGGUUGAAACUCAAAGGAAUUGACGGA